UGCACAGCCUUAAACUUUGUUAGACAAUUACGACAUCUAACCGCCAAGGGACUACAAGCAUAAGCUUAAAACCUAAAGGACUUGGCGGUGCUUUAGACCCACCUAGAGGAGCCUGUUCUAUAACCGAUAACCCCCGUUAAACCUCACCUUCUUUAGUCAUCCCCGCCUAUAUACCGCCGUCGUCAGCUUACCCUGUGAAGGUUUAUUAGUAAGCAAGAUUGAUACUAUCCAAAACGCCAGGUCGAGGUGUAGCAUAUGAGAAGGAAAGAAAUGGGGUACAUUUUCUACUUCAGAAAAAACGGAAAUUGCCAUGAAACAGCAUAUUAAAGGAGGAUUUAGCAGUAAGCAGAGAAUAGAGAGCUCAGCUGAAACUGGCCCUGAAGC
rnacentral:rRNA from 1 species